GAUGAACGCUAGCGGCAGGCUUAAUACAUGCAAGUCGAGGGGCAGCAUGAUUGUAGCAAUACAAUUGAUGGCGACCGGCAAACGGGUGCGGAACACGUACACAACCUUCCAACAAGUGGGGGAUAGCCCAGAGAAAUUUGGAUUAAUACCCCGUAACAUAGCGAUGUGGCAUCACAUUGCUAUUAUAGAUUUUUCGCUUGUUGAUGGGUGUGCGGCGGAUUAGAUAGUUGGCGGGGUAACGGCCCACCAAGUCUACGAUCAGUGGCUGAUGUGAGAGCAUGAUCAGCCACACGGGCACUGAGACACGGGCCCGACUCCUACGGGAGGCAGCAGUAAGGAAUAUUGGACAAUGGACGCAAGUCUGAUCCAGCCAUGCCGCGUGAAGGAUUAAGGUCCUCUGGAUUGUAAACUUCUUUUAUAAGGGACGAAAAAAGGCUUUUCUAAGUCGUCUGACGGUACCUUAUGAAUAAGCACCGGCUAACUACGUGCCAGCAGCCGCCGCGGUAA
rnacentral:rRNA from 1 species